rnacentral:piRNA from 1 species
UGUUCAUGGGAAUGCCCUUAUAGAUGCGAUC